rnacentral:lncRNA from 1 species
UAAAAUAUUUUUUGAUUACAAAUUAAAAAUGUUAUAGGUCACCAAAUUUAUUUAUCAUAAUUUUAACUAUCACAAAAUUUCAAAUUAUUUGGUGUAACUAUCAUAAUUUUAACUAUCACAAAAACCCAUAGAGCCACAGAUGGCCAACAGAGCCAACGAUUUACAAAGUAUGAGCUUCAACUCCACCACCACAACCAUCGUCAUAGGCAUCCACCGCUCUACCAAUUCUAGGUCGGCACAACCACUUGAACCUCUUCCUCUGCCUACCAUUUCUACCCUCCUCCACCGUCGUUAAACCUUACUCUACUACCACUCUUCCGGUGACCCAAGUGGGACUCCAUCCGUCUCUUCCAUUGCCUAUCCCUCUUCGGUCUUACUUUCUCUACCGCUUCGGCUCCAGCAAUAUCAAAUCCGCCUACUUAGCUAAACUUAAGUCAUCGUCCUUGGAAGAGCAACCUAAACCUUCCCCGACAACUCUCUUCCCGGCUAAGGUUAUGGACAAGAAGGAAGUCGUGAGCCAUAAUAAAAAAAAAAAAAAAAGGUUAUAUCAGCUUCACCAAGCAGCGACGCAAGUCAUGGGAGGCAACAGCGAUUUCGAUCGAUGGGUAGAGAGAGAAGGAUAAAGGGAAAAGACGCGCGAGAGAAUAGUUAUGGAAAAGA